CGGCGCUACCGCCGGGGAGCGAGACGGAGCCCUGGGAGGGCCGCAGGGCGGAGCAAUAGUAGAGCUAAGUAGGGUUCGGUCGGGCGUGGAUGCUAGGUGGCGGCCGGCUGGGUGCUGGUAGACUAGAGCGUCCGGGGACUGGACACGACUCACAUCGUAGCCUCCAGGUGCUAAUGUGCUUUCAGCUUGCUUGUUCCACCAGCUCUCUGUGAAGGCCUUCCUGUACAUGGGGAGAAACAUUCUUUCUGAGCCACUUCUCCAGAUGAAGGUAGCAAUCAUUAGAGGAAUGUAUGAUGUUGGUUUGUAAACCAUAAAAUGUCCUGCAUUUGUAAGGCAUUA
rnacentral:lncRNA from 1 species